rnacentral:misc_RNA from 1 species
UGGCAAAUGCCUGAGCCAGGGC